rnacentral:rRNA from 1 species
CCUACGGGAGGCAGCAGUGGGGAAUAUUGCACAAUGGGGGAAACCCUGAUGCAGCGACGCCGCGUGAGUGACGAAGUACUUCGUGAUGUAAAGCUCUAUCAGCAGGGAAGAAAAUGACGGUACCUGAGUAAGAAGCCCCGGCUAAAUACGUGCCGGCAGCCGCGGUAAUACGUAGGGGGCAAGCGUUAUCCGGAUUUACUGGGUGUAAAGGGAGCGUAGACGGCAGUGCAAGUCUGGAGUGAAAGGCGGGGGCUAAACCCCCGAACUGCUAUGGAAACUGUACGGCUGGAGUGCAGGAGAGGUAAGUGGAAUUCCUAGUGUAGCGGUGAAAUGCGUAGAUAUUAGGAGGAACACCAGUGGCGAAGGCAGCUUACGGGACUGUAACUGACGUUGAGGCUCGAAAGCGUGGGGAGCAAACAGGAUUAGAUACCCGAGUAGUC